rnacentral:rRNA from 1 species
GAUGAACGCUGGCGGCGUGCCUAAUACAUGCAAGUCGAGCGAACGGACGAGAAGCUUGCUUCUCUGAUGUUAGCGGCGGACGGGUGAGUAACACGUGGAUAACCUACCUCUAAGACUGGGAUAACUUCGGGAAACCGGAGCUAAUACCGGAUAAUAUUUUGAACCGCAUGGUUCAAAAGUGAAAGACGGUCUUGCUGUCACUUAUAGAUGGAUCCGCGCUGCAUUAGCUAGUUGGUAAGGUAACGGCUUACCGAGGCAACGAUGCAUAGCCGACCUGAGAGGGUGAUCGGCCACACUGGAACUGAGCCACGGUCCAGACUCCUACGGGAGGCAGCAGUAGGGAAUCUUCCGCAAUGGGCGAAAGCCUGACGGAGCAACGCCGCGUGAGUGAUGAAGGUCUUCGGAUCGUAAAACUCUGUUAUUAGGGAAGAACAUAUGUGUAAGUAACUGUGCACAUCUUGACGGUACCUAAUCAGAAAGCCACGGCUAACUACGUG